rnacentral:rRNA from 1 species
AGCGAACGCUGGCGGCAGGCUUAACACAUGCAAGUCGAGCGGGCACUUCGGUGUCAGCGGCAGACGGGUGAGUAACACGUGGGAACGUACCCUUCGGUUCGGAAUAACGCUGGGAAACUAGCGCUAAUACCGGAUACGCCCUUUUGGGGAAAGGUUUACUGCCGAAGGAUCGGCCCGCGUCUGAUUAGCUAGUUGGUGGGGUAAUGGCCUACCAAGGCGACGAUCAGUAGCUGGUCUGAGAGGAUGAUCAGCCACACUGGGACUGAGACACGGCCCAGACUCCUACGGGAGGCAGCAGUGGGGAAUAUUGGACAAUGGGCGCAAGCCUGAUCCAGCCAUGCCGCGUGAGUGAUGAAGGCCUUAGGGUUGUAAAGCUCCUUUGUCCGGGACGAUAAUGACGGUACCGGAAGAAUAAGCCCCGGCUAACUUCGUG